GAGUUUGAUCGUGGCUCAGAUUGAACGCUGGCGGCAGGCCUAACACAUGCAAGUCGGGCGAUUUUUGGCUUCGGUCAGAAGAGCGGCGAACGGGUGAGUAACACGUAGGAAUCUGCCUGGUAGUGGGGGACAACGUUCCGAAAGGAACGCUAAUACCGCAUACGCCCUACGGGGGAAAGCUGGGGAUCUUCGGACCUAGCGCUAUCAGAUGAGCCUGCGUCGGAUUAGCUAGUUGGCGGGGUAAAGGCCCACCAAGGCGACGAUCCGUAACUGGUCUGAGAGGAUGAUCAGUCACACCGGAACUGAGACACGGUCCGGACUCCUACGGGAGGCAGCAGUGGGGAAUAUUGGACAAUGGGGGCAACCCUGAUCCAGCCAUGCCGCGUGUGUGAAGAAGGCCUU
rnacentral:rRNA from 1 species